UACCUCAUGCACCCCUUCGCAGGAGUUCCGGAGCUCCGUCCACCGCGUGACGUAGUCGCGAAGGGGUUCGUCGGGCUUCUGAAUGCACAUGGCCAGCUCGUGAGGCUGGCGAGGACGCUUGUAGGUGCCAGUGAAGUUGCGGACAAACGCCUCCUCGAAGUCUACCCAGGAGUUGACGUUGUCGGCCGGAAGGCUGUUAAGCCAAGUCCGAACC
rnacentral:lncRNA from 1 species